rnacentral:rRNA from 1 species
CAGGCCUAACACAUGCAAGUCGAACGGACCCUUCGGGUUAGUGGCGGACGGGUGAGUAACACGUGGGAACGUGCCUUUAGGUUCGGAAUAGCUCCUGGAAACGGGUGGUAAUGCCGAAUGUGCCCUUCGGGGGAAAGAUUUAUCGCCUUUGGAUGAGCCCGCGUAGGAUUAGCUAGCUGGUGGGGUAAAGGCCUACCAAGGCGACGAUCGGUAGCUGGUCUGAGAGGAUGAUCAGCCACACUGGGACUGAGACACGGCCCAGACUCCUACGGGAGGCAGCAGUGGGGAAUCUUGGACAAUGGGCGCAAGCUGUAUCCAGCCAUGCCGCGUGUGUAUGAAGGCCUUAGGGUUGUAAAGCACUUUCGCCAGGGAAGAUAAUGACGGUACCUGGAUAAGAAGCCCCGGCUAACUCCGUGCCAGCAGCGCGGUAAU